UGGUAUACUUCAUCCAAAGCUAAAUAUGGACAAGAGACCGAUAGCGAACAAGUACCGUGAGGGAAAGGUGAAAAGAACUUUGAAAAGAGAGUGAAAUAGUGCUUGAAACCGUUGGGAGGAAAGCGAAUGGAGUUGCUAUACGACCGGGGUGUCUCAAACCGGCGCAUAAGUUGGUUCCGGUGUAGUGACCCCGUGUCUUCGUUCGCAGAGUACUACCUAUCCUGGCGUGUGGCUCUAUUCAAUAUUAGGUUAAACUUUGUUGAAAAAAUGAGUGCUGCUCAGAUGAUGGUGGUCUCUAAAGAAAUGGGAGCCAAUUAAAUAAUGAUUUUGUAAAAGGUUAUUGUCUUAAAUAGGAAACCAAUGGCGGACGGAAGGGCUUCAUUCGACCCGUCUUGAAACACGGACCAAGGAGUCCAGCCUCCACGCGAGUGUUUGGGUGGUAAACCCCAACGCGUAGUGAAAGUGAUAGUUUAUAGUUCUUAAUAUCCAAAAAAGAACCGUAAACAAUGGUGAGAAUUUUUUUAUGCACUGCCAUCCGAUUAGCUUUCUAUAUAAUGAGGCUAACUUGGGAUCGAGCGUGGAUGCUGGGACCCGAAAGAUGGUGAACUAUGCCCGAGUAGGAUGAAGCCAGAGGAAACUCUGGUGGAGGUCCGAAGGCGUUCUGACGUGCAAAUCGAUGCUCAAACUUGGGUAUAGGGGCGAAAGACCAAUCGAACCAUCUAU
rnacentral:rRNA from 1 species